rnacentral:tRNA from 1 species
UGCAGAGUAGAGAAACGGUUAUCUCGGAUGGCUCAUAACCAUCAGACAGCAGGUUCAAUUCCUGCCUCUGCAACCA